AGUGAACGCUGGCGGUAGGCCUAACACAUGCAAGUCGAUCGGCAGCACAGUAAGAGCUUGCUCUUACGGGUGGCGAGUGGCGGACGGGUGAGGAAUACAUCGGAAUCUACUUUUUCGUGGGGGAUAACGUAGGGAAACUUACGCUAAUACCGCAUACGACCUACGGGUGAAAGCAGGGGAUCUUCGGACCUUGCGCGAUUGAAUGAGCCGAUGUCGGAGUAGCUAGUGGGCGGGGUAAAGGCCCACCAAGGCGACGAUCCGUAGCUGGUCUGAGAGGAUGGUCAGCCACACUGGAACUGAGACACGGUCCAGACUCCUACGGGAGGCAGCAGUCGGGAAUGUUGGACAAUGGGCGCAAGCCUGAUCCAGCCAUACCGCGUCGGUGAAGAAGGCCUUCGGGUUGUAAAGCCCUUUUGUUGGGAAAGAAAAGCAUCAGGUUAAUACCCCGCUGUUCUGACGGUACCCAAAGAAUAAGCACCGGCUAACUUCGUG
rnacentral:rRNA from 1 species